UACGUAGGGUGCGAGCGUUAAUCGGAAUUACUGGCGUAAGCGUGCGCAGGCGGUUGUGCAAGACAGGUGUGAAAUCCCCGGGCUUAACCUGGAACUGCACUUGUGACUGCACAGCUGAGUGCGGCAGAGGGAUGAAUUCCGCGUGUAGCAGUGAAAUGCGUAGAUAUGCGGAGGAACACCGAUGGCGAAGGCAGCCUCCGUGGCCAACACUGACGCUCAGUGCACGAA
rnacentral:rRNA from 1 species